CUUCAUCAGUCAUCAUUAGCAAAGUUUAUUUCUUAAUUAUUGUAGUAAGAGGUCAACAGUAUGUGGACCCUAACUACUCAAAUAAAGAAAAAACAUAUAUAAUUUGAGCAUAUUAAGUAGAUCCUGGAGGUAAAUCAGAAUGUUAUUUACUCCUAUUUAUGAUACAAACCCUGAUACAACAUUGGGUCUUCCAAGAAUAAAAUAUCCAAGCAAAAUAAGGAAAUAAGCUGCCAUUUAAAACUAUUUUCCAACUGAUAUUAAUUUUUUCUUCUUUGCUUCUUAAACCAAAGAUUUUAAUCUUGGAUUUUUUUUCAGUUAGCAGUAUAGGAAUCCAUACAACAUUUUAUAGAGACUUUGAUGGAAUACUCUAUGCAUUUAAAUCUACGUCUACAUGUACCUUCCUAGACAAGUGCUCUAUACCUCUGUACUUUCUAUCCAUGUGCAAAAUAAGUCACAUUCUUCUCCCUGUUGAAAGGAACUACAAUGUGUUCUUCUUCAAGUGAAGAAGCUCUUAACCAGAAACGAGUACUCCCAGCUCUGCCAGUAGGUAUGAACCAUCCUGGAGCUCGUGAAAAAGCAGACAAGACUCCAUAUUAGGAGAUCCUGAUUUAAUUCACCAUGGGCAGGGCUUGCACUCAUGUUUUUAAGAGAUCUUAACCACUUUUUUCUCUGUUGACCAUCUUUGUGACUGGAUCUUACUUCAUCCUAAAGACUCAGAAAAGCUAUGUGAGAGAGAGGUGGCUUCUCUGACAGCAGGCAUUGAAUUAUUGAUUUUGCAGAUUUGUUACCAAGCUACUCUCCCUGCUUUUAUAUGAUGACUACAGAACUAUGGUAGAUAAAAAUGGGGAAAUUGAAGGAAGGCUUUCUUGUUUUGCUAUGUGUUGCAGUUGGUGUCUCUUCCGGGUGUGGGGUAAGCAGAAAUGCCAGAGGAAUAGUUUGCUGAUUCUGAGACAUCUUGAGGCUCCAGUGGCUUCAUCUACUAACUCAGCACAUCAUUUAGGUGAGGAAACAGUUGUAUUGGGUUUGUAUUUCAAUUUCUAAAAUUAUUUUCUUCUUUUCUGGCUUAAAGUUAACUCACAAACAAGCAGGCUUCCUGACGUAGAAUGAAUAUUAACAUGUCGGCUUCAGUCUCACAAUUGCUUUCAAUUGCUGCUCCAUGCAUUGAUUUUUAGAUGAUGCAAACCUUUCAAGCAGACCCAGGUUAGAAGAAAAAAGGUGCAGAAGGGCAAAAGACAAAUGUGUAUGUCUAGAACAAUCCUGGGGGAAAUUCUGUUUUUCUGGCCUUGACAUCAUGCUUGUUUUGGUCACAUUCCAGACAACAUCUGCUGAGCUUUUGUCUGGUUUCACGCGUUUACUGUCAGAACUUUUCUCAGGAUUUUCAUUUGAACCUUCCUUCCAGUUUUGAGUCACAUAUCAGUUUAAGUUUGAGAUCUGGGAAAAGAAACUGUUUACAUCCUGUUUCUAUCAUAUGACUAAGCCGCUUGUGCUAUCCCCUUGAUGGGUGCUGAGGAGAGUUAGUUUGAAGUGGUCACUGUUUUGUUUAAAAACUACCGGUCCAGACUGAUUCCAUAGCUUUAUUCCCAAUGUGGCAGAUUAAUAGAGUGUUAGAUGAUGCUCCUUGAUAAUCCUUCCAGCAUAGGCAUCAGCACUGCCAUUCAAUAAGUGACAAGAAUUAAGGUAUGCUAUAUGGAGGGUUUGAAAAUGUGCUGAUACCUCUAAAUAGAAAGACCCUGCAGCAGAUGGAGCACUUGAAGUAAAAUGAAACACAUAGCAAAAACAGCUGACCUGAACAUCCGGGAACUCUUGCUCCCCAGCUGAUAGCUGGAAUACCAGCAUGGGACUGAUCCAGACCCAAGGAACAUGGGUUUCUGUGAGGAAACCUCAGAAAACUAUGGGACCUCUUGUAGAAGCCCAGCAUUUUUCCCUAGCAUAGGUGUGGACUUUGGGAGCCCAGUCCAUAUAGAGGAAUACUCCCUGAGCCAAGAGACACGGAGGUGGGCCUAGGCCCUACCCCAAAGGAAAGAAAGACUCUGAUGACACCCUAUGGAAGGCCUCACCAGCCAGGGGGAGCAGAAAAGAUAUGUGACAGAU
rnacentral:lncRNA from 1 species